rnacentral:lncRNA from 1 species
UUAAUUCACAAUGAUUCUUUAAUACAGAAUACAUGUUCCAUGAGUUGCAGAAUAAGUCACCUUCUAGCUUACAUAUUUUAUCUCUUUUCUCUGAAUUUUAAUGCAUGAAAUAUUGUUUGGCAAUGAUUCAGGACUUAGUAUGCUUUUAACCUUUUGUCAGUGACUGUUUAGUCUUACUUACUGCUGAUAUUCGUUGAUAUAACCCGAGGCCGUCAAUUUAUACAAAUACUAAUUUUUGUUCUCAUUUUGAUGCAUGUGAAAUCCAUCCGAGUCCUCUUGGACUCCUGUUUUCCUCUCAUUUGCAUUUUGAGAGAGCCGUAAAGGCUCAAAUCUUCCUUUAUCGAGUCAGCCAGCCACUAAAAUCGAUGAACAGGCUCCAGAGUUGAAAAGACGCGCAAGAAAUCAAUAGUUGAAAGAUUGGGCCAAAGGCCCACUCUUCAUUAUUUAAAUUUGUAUUUUGUUAUUUAGGGCCCAAGCCCUUGUCUUUUAUUUAUUAAUACUCUAUUAGAAGUUUAGGACAGGUGAUUCAAAUGGGCCGAAGGCCCCAAAACGAAAAAUGGGCCCAAGUACUGGUCCAGGCGGAC